ensembl:lincRNA
ACUCCUUGCACAUGUGGAAUGCGCUGUGGUGAUUGAGGGUGCUCAUACAGGAGCACUGGGGCUCGUCAGGGCAUCUUGUCCGACAGGUGUAUGAACAUUUAGAUUUACAUUAGUACAGGUACUCUAAAUACAAUAGAAAUAUGUAUGCUUGUCAUUAAGAUCACCUUGUACAACAGACAUAAUAGUACAGAAAUGCAUGUCAAAACUAUUUAAUUAGGUCAACUUGAGAAGAAUAAAAAACAUUGUUAAACGGUUCUCUAAGCAAUCCUGUUUCUUUGUCACUCUGUCAACAGCAUCAACUGGUCAAUGUACCAGCAAGAUUUUAAAAAGAAAAUGUACAAAUUCAUGGAUAUAAGAACAUUAAUGGGGCUAGAAAACUACAUUGGAAGGACAAGAAACUACCCCAAGUACAGUGUGCUCCAACUGUGCAAGAACUGCAACAACGGAGAAGAAUUUCAGCUGGGCUUGGAGGGAGAACAUUCUGCCCAUUCGGCACUGAGCUCAGACGUGGGGAACGGGGACCAGCAGGGCUCCCCCACUGCUGCUGGAGACGCAUCUCCAGCCCCGAGGGGUACCCCAGCGGACAGGGAGGUGCCUUUGGUGCCGACGGCCCUCCUGAGGCCCCAGGAGCAAGCAGAACCUGAGACCUGGGCCUCUCUUCACCUCAAGCCUUCUCCGGCCCUGAGACGGUCACUCUCCGGCGCUGCGACCCAGGCCACGCCAGCAGACUCCCUCCUGCGCACGGCGGCGUUGGGGUCCCGGGUACGGAACGUGUCGGUGGCGGGGGAGAAGGGGCGCCCCCGGGAGACUGGAUUGCCGGGGAAAGUCCCUCACCUCGGGCCGGCAGAGCUGGGCAUCCUGCUGGGCUGUGCGGCCGCACUGGGCAUGGCUGUCACCACGGGCCUCCGGUACCUGCACAGCCAGUACUGCCGCAAGCGCACCGAGGUGUCCAUCAGCGACCGCGACAGCAAUGUUAUCCACGUCCAGGAGUGCGGGGACCUGGUGCAGGUACGCAAGAUCCGGCAGAACAGCUUUGUCCUGCUGGAGGCCGAGUACGACGUCAUCACUCCCGUGGGGAAGUGACGGAGCUCAGCACUCACCUGGGCUUGACCACAAGAUGCGCGACAGAAACCAAAUAGUACACACCUUUCACGUGUCACAACCGUACCUGCAGAACAGCACAGCAGAGGCCGUGGUGGCUGAUAAGGCUGGGCGAGCAGGAGCCUGAAGGAACUUUGACUUUACUCCUCCCUGCAAACUCCUUUCAGACGACACCAUAUCGAUUAGAAUUGUUUGGUCACUGUUUGAAACCAAAACUCCAAGCUGACAUUUUCACACAUUAAUUUUGUGUUAUGUUUAUUGUUUUCUCUACUGGUUCCAAAAACAACAAUAAUAUACUAUACUUACUCACUGCUAGUAUCUCUUGUUUGAUAUUAUGUACUGUACUGUACUGACAUUCGGAGAAAUUCAGAGAGGCAGAAGAUGUUUAUGUUUGGGAACAAACCAUUGAAAUUGAAGGUGACUGUUAAAAGCUAGGAAUCCCAUCUUACAGUUAACAAACCUCCAACAGGUCUCAUGUGCUGAACAGUAAGUCACAAUGCCUAAAAGUGCAAAAUCAAAUACAAUUGCAUUUCUAUAGUACUUUUCAUCCCCAAGGAUCCCAGAGUGCAUCACAUACUGGGGAGCCACUGAACCUGGAGAGAUGUGCCAGCUCUGAUGUGCUGUGAUCUCCCUGCCAGAACUGGCCAAGCGAGAAAUUGUUUCGCCAAGUGAGUUUAGGGGGACCUUGGCAGAGCCCAGACUGUGCCCAACCACAGAAUCCUCUUAUACUGCUCCUGCCCCCAGUUUACCAGUCACCACUCGUGAAAUGUUUUGCAUUUAACAGUGCUGUGGUUUUGGGGUGUUUUCUGAUCUUUCAUGCUGGUAAAAGAGCUGGUAAAAAAAAACUAGUUACAAGAUUUGCUUUGGAAUAGUUCUUUCCACUGACAACUACUUUUCUUUCUUUUUUCCUGAAACGUAAUAUAGGAUACAUAAUGCGGUUGUUAAGUGAAUUAUGUGGGAAUCGGAAAACACUAACACUUAAGACCAAAGAAAUAUAGUCACCUGCAAACCUUACUGAGGCAUGCAGAUAGAAAAUGGAUGGACGUUUAGACCCAGUGAUGCUUGUACUAAUUUAGUAGUGUUAAUUGUCAAUUAAAAAAAUAUAAAUGGCAGCUUAAUGUGUCAUAUACACUGGAUGAAGGUGACAGUGUGCAUGCUUUAGUAAAAGAUUUAUGAAAAAGAGAUGCUAUACAUUAGUUUUGUAGAUUAGACCCUAAUCUUAUAAAAUGUAACUGAUUUGUACAUUUUAGAUAUUAUGAAAUAUAUUUACUUUAGGACGUAAACGUUUUAUAUGAGUUGUACUAAUACAGUGAUUAUGUUAGAAGAAAAAAAGUUAAUUCCCCAUUUAAAAUAAUGAGACAGCAAAUAAUUAUAUUGUAGUUACAGCAAUAUUUUACUCAUUUCUGUACCUUUUCCUUGGGAAUAAAAUUUACACAC